GUGAAGUGUUUGGAGUAGCUC
rnacentral:miRNA from 1 species